UAAUACCAGCUCUCCGAGUGGUGUGGAUGUUUAUUGGGCCUAAAGCAUCCGUAGCUGGCUAAGUUAGUCCCUUGUUAAAUCCACCGAAUUAAUCGUUGGAUUGCGGGGGAUACUGCUUGGCUAGGGGACGAGAGAGGCAGACGGUAUUUUUGGGGUAGGGGUGAAAUCCUAUAAUCCCAGGAAGACCACCAGUGGCGAAGGCUGUCUGCUAGAACGCGCCCGACGGUGAGGGAUGAAAGCUGGGGGAGCGAACCGGAUUAGAUACCCGGGUAGUCCCAGCUGUAAACGAUGCAAACUAGGUGUUUGAACGGCCACGUGCCGUUCUAGUGCCGCAGGGAAGCUGUUAAGUUUGCCGCCUGGGGAGUACGAUCGCAAGAUUGAAACUUAAAUGAAUUGACGG
rnacentral:rRNA from 1 species